GGGUUGUGAGGUUAAGCGACUAAGCGUACACGGUGGAUGCCCUGGCAGUCAGAGGCGAUGAAGGACGUGCUAAUCUGCGAUAAGCGCCGGUAAGGUGAUAUGAACCGUUAUAACCGGCGAUUUCCGAAUGGGGAAACCCAGUGUGACUCGUCACACUAUCAUUAACUGAAUCCAUAGGUUAAUGAGGCGAACCGGGGGAACUGAAACAUCUAAGUACCCCGAGGAAAAGAAAUCAACCGAGAUUCCCCCAGUAGCGGCGAGCGAACGGGGAGGAGCCCAGAGCCUGAAUCAGCAUGUGUGUUAGUGGAAGCGUCUGGAAAGGCGCGCGAUACAGGGUGACAGCCCCGUACACAAAAGCGCAUGUGCUGUGAGCUCGAUGAGUAGGGCGGGACACGUGGUAUCCUGUCUGAAUAUGGGGGGACCAUCCUCCAAGGCUAAAUACUCCUGACUGACCGAUAGUGAACCAGUACCGUGAGGGAAAGGCGAAAAGAACCCCGGCGAGGGGAGUGAAAAAGAACCUGAAACCGUGUACGUACAAGCAGUGGGAGCACAGGUUUACCUGUGUGACUGCGUACCUUUUGUAUAAUGGGUCAGCGACUUAUAUUCUGUAGCAAGGUUAACCGCAUAGGGGAGCCGCAGGGAAACCGAGUCUUAACCGGGCGUUAAGUUGCAGGGUAUAGACCCGAAACCCGGUGAUCUAGCCAUGGGCAGGUUGAAGGUUGGGUAACACUAACUGGAGGACCGAACCGACUAAUGUUGAAAAAUUAGCGGAUGACCUGUGGCUGGGGGUGAAAGGCCAAUCAAACCGGGAGAUAGCUGGUUCUCCCCGAAAGCUAUUUAGGUAGCGCCUCGUGAAUUCAUCUCCGGGGGUAGAGCACUGUUUCGGCUAGGGGGUCAUCCCGACUUACCAACCCGAUGCAAACUGCGAAUACCGGAGAAUGUUAUCACGGGAGACACACGGCGGGUGCUAACGUCCGUCGUGAAGAGGGAAACAACCCAGACCGCCAGCUAAGGUCCCAAAGUCAUGGUUAAGUGGGAAACGAUGUGGGAAGGCCCAGACAGCCAGGAUGUUGGCUUAGAAGCAGCCAUCAUUUAAAGAAAGCGUAAUAGCUCACUGGUCGAGUCGGCCUGCGCGGAAGAUGUAACGGGGCUAAACCAUGCACCGAAGCUGCGGCAGCGAACGUAUCACCCAAGACAACUUUGCGGAGUUGACGAUUGACGGAGCGAAGCGACGUCAAAGCGUUCAUUAAAGUCGAGUUGGCUUAGGGAUACGUUCGUUGGGUAGGGGAGCGUUCUGUAAGCCUGUGAAGGUAUGCUGUGAGGCAUGCUGGAGGUAUCAGAAGUGCGAAUGCUGACAUAAGUAACGAUAAAGCGGGUGAAAAGCCCGCUCGCCGGAAGACCAAGGGUUCCUGUCCAACGUUAAUCGGGGCAGGGUGAGUCGACCCCUAAGGCGAGGCCGAAAGGCGUAGUCGAUGGGAAACGGGUUAAUAUUCCCGUACUUGGUGUUACUGCGAAGGGGGGACGGAGAAGGCUAUGUUGGCCGGGCGACGGUUGUCCCGGUUUAAGCGUGUAGGUGUGUGUUCCAGGUAAAUCCGGUUCACUUUAACACUGAGGCGUGACGACGAGGCACUACGGUGCUGAAGCAACAAAUGCCCUGCUUCCAGGAAAAGCCUCUAAGCAUCAGGUAACAUCAAAUCGUACCCCAAACCGACACAGGUGGUCAGGUAGAGAAUACCAAGGCGCUUGAGAGAACUCGGGUGAAGGAACUAGGCAAAAUGGUGCCGUAACUUCGGGAGAAGGCACGCUGACAUGUAGGUGAAGUGAUUUACUCAUGGAGCUGAAGUCAGUCGAAGAUACCAGCUGGCUGCAACUGUUUAUUAAAAACACAGCACUGUGCAAACACGAAAGUGGACGUAUACGGUGUGACGCCUGCCCGGUGCCGGAAGGUUAAUUGAUGGGGUCAGCGCAAGCGAAGCUCCUGAUCGAAGCCCCGGUAAACGGCGGCCGUAACUAUAACGGUCCUAAGGUAGCGAAAUUCCUUGUCGGGUAAGUUCCGACCUGCACGAAUGGCGUAAUGAUGGCCAGGCUGUCUCCACCCGAGACUCAGUGAAAUUGAACUCGCUGUGAAGAUGCAGUGUACCCGCGGCAAGACGGAAAGACCCCGUGAACCUUUACUAUAGCUUGACACUGAACAUUGAGCCUUGAUGUGUAGGAUAGGUGGGAGGCUUUGAAGUGUGGACGCCAGUCUGCAUGGAGCCGACCUUGAAAUACCACCCUUUAAUGUUUGAUGUUCUAACGUGGACCCGUAAUCCGGGUUGCGGACAGUGUCUGGUGGGUAGUUUGACUGGGGCGGUCUCCUCCUAAAGAGUAACGGAGGAGCACGAAGGUUGGCUAAUCCUGGUCGGACAUCAGGAGGUUAGUGCAAUGGCAUAAGCCAGCUUGACUGCGAGCGUGACGGCGCGAGCAGGUGCGAAAGCAGGUCAUAGUGAUCCGGUGGUUCUGAAUGGAAGGGCCAUCGCUCAACGGAUAAAAGGUACUCCGGGGAUAACAGGCUGAUACCGCCCAAGAGUUCAUAUCGACGGCGGUGUUUGGCACCUCGAUGUCGGCUCAUCACAUCCUGGGGCUGAAGUAGGUCCCAAGGGUAUGGCUGUUCGCCAUUUAAAGUGGUACGCGAGCUGGGUUUAGAACGUCGUGAGACAGUUCGGUCCCUAUCUGCCGUGGGCGCUGGAGAACUGAGGGGGGCUGCUCCUAGUACGAGAGGACCGGAGUGGACGCAUCACUGGUGUUCGGGUUGUCAUGCCAAUGGCACUGCCCGGUAGCUAAAUGCGGAAGAGAUAAGUGCUGAAAGCAUCUAAGCACGAAACUUGCCCCGAGAUGAGUUCUCCCUGAGACUUUAGGUCUCCUGAAGGAACGUUGAAGACGACGACGUUGAUAGGCCGGGUGUGUAAGCGCAGCGAUGCGUUGAGCUAACCGGUACUAAUGAACCGUGAGGCUUAACCUUACAACGCCGAAG
rnacentral:rRNA from 1 species